AAGCAGGAAAACAGCCAUCAUUCCUUCAACAUCUGCUCUGUGAGAUUAAGAAGCUGGUCAGAAAGCAGAAACAUGCUGCAGGAUUACUCAAAUCAACAAACAACAAACGGAAGAAACGAGGAAAGAGGAAAACUUCAAGCCGCUACGUAGAAAUCAAGGGAUCAGGAAACGAUCAUCAGGGCGAGGAAACCACGGAAACAUUGAUGGGGAAAUAUGAUAUCCAUAUUCACGUGAGAGGAUUGCAGGAGAUCGAUCAGUUUCUGGGUUCUCCGAUCCCUAACUUACCGGAUUGCCGUGCGUCGGAGUUUUCAUUCUGUACCAAACCCGCUGGUUCUGCCUUCCCCCUCCUCCUCAAGGAGAGGUGGCUUAAAAGGUCUGCAGUCGAGGAACAAGAGGGGAGGGAACCUUGAAACGAGGUGGUCUGGUGAAUGAUUGGGCUGGCUGAGUGCUUUCACGUCAGGGCUCUGAUUCCUUUCUGCUGCUGCCUCCCUGGAAACAACUAUCCACUAAUUUCAGACAGCAAGGAACAGUGACGCAGGAAAUCAGCGGGAACGACCCCAAACAAACAAAGAAACCAGCAAACGAACAGCGUGCGCAGGACCUGGGCCGUGGGUGUUGGCUUGGUGGAGCUGGCAGGAAGCUCGGAGCAUCUGUCUGUGAGAUAUCUUCAGAGCUGGACACCAACCGUCCCAGCAUGACAACAAGCAGACCUCUGCAAGAGCGUUUAGUCGUGACGCUGCCACAGCAAGCGACAGGAAAAAGAUUUAAAUGCAGAAACCAUCUUCAUGUCAUGACUUCUGCAGCUCUCAUGACUUACCAAGAGGACUGUCAGGAUCGUGUGGAGGCGGGGCUUUUCUUUUUGCUAACAGACAAGCAGGACAUUUUGUACGGUCAGUUUUGCAAAGAGCUAGGUGUUUCCUUGGUUUUUUUUAGAUUAUGUCAAAUGUUUUGAGUCAUAUUUAUUGACAAAAAGUAAAUUUGUGCUCUUACAUUUCCUCCCAACAUGUCGAACUCUAAAACAUCGCAGCAGAGGUCAUGAGAGACAAAACGUGAUGAGUUUUAUCUGAGAUCAUCACGAUGUGACGCUAAGAAAGCUGCCUUGCCCCCAAACAGGAAGCUUGGUCGCUGUUAAACCUGCAGUUACACACUGUACACAGGGAUAUAAAUACCAGUCACCACCCAACACCCCCAGUUAACACCAACAAACAUCAAAGCCUAAACAGUAAGCCCACCCAGCUACUCUGUGAAAGUAGAUGCAGUCACUUUUAUUUGAAAGCUCGCCUGCGAAAAGCGAAGCAUAACCUGGAGCAAGGUUGCUUUUAAACAGAGCAGCUCUGAGGCCCAGCUGCUCUUCUUCCUCUCAAUCUGUGAUUCAGAGACCUUCAAAACGUCCUGAUGGGGUUUUAACUCCAUCGAAAAAAAAAACCUUCAAAUGUAUUAUUCUGAGAGGCGAAGAAAUAUCAAUCUGAAACAAGGUUAAAGCGACUGAAGCCUCUCUCGGUUUCAUUGAAAAAAGCAUUGUAUAAAGUGGAAAUUAUGGACUUAUUUUCUGUUCUUUGGCUUAGAACUUAGUUCUUUUUUUGCUUCCAUCUGUUCAAACACUUCUACACAGAUAUUAACAGCAUGUUCAGCCAGCAUACCAUCUCCAGGAAGGAGAUGGGUCCCGUGUCCCAGAGGUGCCCAGUAACCCCAGAAGAAAAGACCUCCUGAAAAUGGCUGAAGAUGGUAAUCCACUGUAUCGACAUGGCCUGAAAGGCCACUCAGAGAGGAAGAAGCCAUUUCUCCAAAAGCAGCAUAAAAAGCCUGAUUGCAAAUGUACUCAGAGACAAAGAGCUUUAUUUUUGGAGGUCCUAUAUCCUGAUUUCAUGUCAGACUGAAGAAAAAAGGGUUAUGUGUGGUUUUAUACAGAGUAUGUAUAAAUAUAUGGCUUAAACCUGUAUAUCUCGUUUACUUGGCCUUUUGGUGUCAUAUUAGCUGAUCUCA